GGUGUGUGAGUGACACUGUCCUUCAGGGGAGCAGAACAGGCAAUUAAUGUAAAAUCGUGUGAGAGUAAAAUGGACAAACAAAAGGGUGUGCCAUGUAUAAGGCUAGUCAGUGGAUAUUCUGAAAGUAGUUUGAAGGAUGUAGGUCACAUGACCAGGGAACAGUUGGAAUAAAAAAAUGUUUUAAAACUUAAUGUAAAACCGUGUGAGAUGAAAAUGGACAAACUAAAGGUUGUGUAUUAUAGGAGGGUAGUCAUGACAUGACCAAGGAGCUAUUAAAAUUCUAAAGUUUUCAAAAUUCAUCUAAAAACGUGUGAGAUGAAAAUGGACAAACUAGAUGGUGUGCAAUGUGAAGGCCAACAGAAAGUACGUUUUGAACCUUGAUUGAGGUCAGUUGGUCACAUGACCAAGGAGCUAUUGAAUGUAACAUGUUGACAAUUAAUGUAAAAUCAAGUGAGAUGAAAAUGGACAAACUAAAGGGUGUGUAAUGUGUAGGCCCACUGAGUGUACAUUCUAAACCUUGUUUGAGUCAAGAUGGUCACAUGACCAAGGAGCUAUUGACAUUUUAAAUAGUGAAAAAUGCAUGUAAAAACAAGUGAGAUGAAAAUGGAAAACUAAAGGGUUUGCAAUAUAGAAGUGUUGUUAUUGGACAUUCUGAACCUUGGUUGAGGUCAGUAGGUCACAUGACCAAGGAGCUAUUGAAAUUGAACAUUUAAAUUAUUUAACAGUAGGUCACAUGACCAAGGAGCUAUUGAGGAGCUAUUUUAACAGUAAAAAAUUCAUGUAAAAUCGACUGAGA
rnacentral:lncRNA from 1 species